rnacentral:SRP_RNA from 1 species
GCUGGGCGUGGUGGCUCAUGCCUGUAAUCCCAGCACUUCGGGAGGCUGAGACGGGUGGAUCACCUGAGGUCGGGAGUUCGAGACCAGCCUGGCCAACAUGGUGAAACCCUGUCUCUU